rnacentral:rRNA from 1 species
UGGCUCAGAACGAACGCUGGCGGCAUGCCUUACACAUGCAAGUCGAACGGCAGCACGGGUGCUUGCACCUGGUGGCGAGUGGCGAACGGGUGAGUAAUAUAUCGGAACGUACCUUAUUGUGGGGGAUAACGCAGCGAAAGCUGUGCUAAUACCGCAUAAUCCCUAAGGGGGAAAGCAGGGGACCGUAAGGCCUUGCGCAAUUAGAGCGGCCGAUACCUGAUUAGCUAGUUGGUGGGGUAAAGGCUCACCAAGGCAACGAUCAGUAGCUGGUCUGAGAGGACGAUCAGCCACACUGGGACUGAGACACGACCCAGACUCCUACGGGAGGCAGCAGUGGG